rnacentral:piRNA from 1 species
UGAGCAGAGGGUUCCGGGUUUGGCUCUGGU